AUGGCUGCGCUUGGCGGCAUGCUUGCCGCUGCCAUCCUCAAGGUGGUGGGCGACCAGGUUGGUUCUCUGAUCGGGGGUCAGAUCGCGCUGCAGAUGAACUUGAACAACGACCUGAAGAAGAUGAAGAUGGCGCUGGAGAGUGUCGAUGCCGUGCUCGAGGACGCCGAGAGGCGGUCCAUCACGGAUAAAUCGACGCGUCUUUGGCUGAAGCGGCUCAAGGACUUCAUGUAUGUCAUCUCGGACAUGAUUGAUGAGUUCGAAGCAGACACACAAGCCAUCACCCAGCCAUCUGCGCGCAAGUUCUCCUUCAAAAAAUAUUUGGCGUUCAUGAUCCCUUGUCUCACAAUUGGCCCCAACAUUACAAUGGCCAAUAGGAUGAAGAACAUGAGGGACGACCUGAAGGUCAUAACAGAUCAACACAAGGAAUUCAAGUUAACAGACUGCACUAAUGCCAAUGAGCCAAAGGUGACUGAUAUACGGGAAACAUCAUCAACCCUGGAGACACAAAUCGUUGGGAGGACUGAGGAGAGAGAUAUAAUAUUGGAUUCUUUAUCUGAGAGCAUGACAGAAGAUAUCACAAUCCUUCCUAUAUAUGGCAUUGGAGGCCUUGGCAAGACAACCUUGGCAAAAAUGGUUUACAAUAGUUCCCAGUUCAAUGAAUACUCUCAAGUGUGGGUUUACGUGUCUCAGACAUUUGAUGUGAUCAAAAUUGGAAACUCUAUAAUAUCACAACUAUCAGAGAAAGAUAAAGAGAGUGCGUACACUGGAAAGCAGAUGAUCCAUAAUUCCCUUGAAAAGCUCCUCGCCAACAAGAAGAUUCUGAUUGUUUUAGAUGACCUGUGGGAAGACAACAUGUCUAAUUUGGAAGAACUGAAAGAUAUGUUAAAAAUUGGGAAGAGCAGUAACGUGGUUGUUAUAGCAACCACACGAAGUGAAGGCAUUGCAAAGGAAAUCUCCACCAUCCAACCAUACAAAUUAGCACCAUUGACUGAUGACAUGUGCUGGUCUAUAAUAAAGCAAAAGAGUGCAUUUGAAUCUAGAGGUGAUAAGGAACAAUUGGAGGAAAUAGGGAAAGUCAUUGCAAUGAAGUGUGCGGGUGUGGCUUUAGCAGCUAAAUCACUUGGACACACGCUGAAAUCUAUGAAGCCUGGUCAUUGGGAAUCAGUGAGAGAUAGUAAUAUCUGGACUGCAUCUUCUUUGGAAGAUACAUCUUCUACACAAGUGCUUGCAUCUCUGAAGUUAAGCUAUAGUGUUAUGCCUUCGUAUCUGAAGCUAUGCUUUGCCUAUUGUGCAAUAUUUCCAAAAGGUCACAAGAUACUUAUAGAUGAUCUUAUUCAUCAAUGGGUUUCUCUACUCGGGAGCUUGGCGAGAGAUACAUUAGUCAGCUUUUGGGCCUUUCUUUUCUUGACCAUUUCAAGUCAUCAUCGACUUUUGAGCUAUAUGAUGAAGAUGUUAUAUUGUUGA
rnacentral:rRNA from 1 species